GUGAAUUUAGUUUAAGCGAAAAAACACUUGACUUGCAAUCAAAAACCCCGAGUUUAACCCUCGGAAUUUACA
rnacentral:tRNA from 1 species